UACGUAGGGUGCGAGCGUUGUCCGGAAUUAUUGGGCGUAAAGGGCUCGUAGGCGGUCUGUCGCGUCGGGCGUGAAAACUCAGGGCUUAACCCUGAGCCUGCUUCCGAUACGGGCAGACUAGAGGUAUGCAGGGGAGAACGGAAUUCCUGGUGUAGCGGUGAAAUGCGCAGAUAUCAGGAGGAACACCGGUGGCGAAGGCGGUUCUCUGGGCAUUACCUGACGCUGAGGCGCGAAAGCCAGGGGAGCGAACGGG
rnacentral:rRNA from 1 species